rnacentral:rRNA from 2 species
UGCAGAAUCCCGUGAACCAUCGAGUCUUUGAACGCAAGUUGCGCCCGAAGCCGUUAGGCCGAGGGCACGUCUGCCUGGGCGUCACGC